rnacentral:rRNA from 1 species
UACGUAGGGACCAAGCGUUGUUCGGAUUUACUGGGCGUAAAGCGCGCGCAGGCGGCCUUUUAAGUCUGAUGUGAAAGCCCACGGCUCAACCGUGGAAGGUCAUUGGAAACUGAAAGGCUUGAGUACAGAAGAGGAAAGCGGAAUUCCACGUGUAGCGGUGAAAUGCGUAGAGAUGUGGAGGAACACCAGUGGCGAAGGCGGCUAUCUGGACCGGUACUGACGCUGAGGCGCGAAAGCGUGGGGAGCAAACAGG